rfam:Xenococcus sp. PCC 7305 scaffold_00003, whole genome shotgun sequence.
ACCAUGGAGAGUUUGAUCCUGGCUCAGGAUGAACGCUGGCGGUAUGCCUAACACAUGCAAGUCGAACGAAAUCUUCGGAUUUAGUGGCGGACGGGUGAGUAACGCGUGAGAAUCUGCCUUCAGGACGGGGACAACAGUUGGAAACGACUGCUAAUACCCGAUGUGCCGCAAGGUGAAAUUUAUUUAGCCUGAAGAGGAGCUCGCGUCCGAUUAGCUAGUUGGGGUGGUAAAAGCGCACCAAGGCAACGAUCGGUAGCUGGUCUGAGAGGAUGAGCAGCCACACUGGGACUGAGACACGGCCCAGACUCCUACGGGAGGCAGCAGUGGGGAAUUUUCCGCAAUGGGCGAAAGCCUGACGGAGCAAUACCGCGUGAGGGAGGAAGGCUUUUGGGUUGUAAACCUCUUUUCUCAAGGAAGAAGAACUGACGGUACUUGAGGAAUCAGCAUCGGCUAACUCCGUGCCAGCAGCCGCGGUAAUACGGAGGAUGCAAGCGUUAUCCGGAAUUAUUGGGCGUAAAGCGUCCGCAGGUGGUACAUCAAGUCCGCUGUUAAAGACCAGGGCUUAACCCCGGGAAGGCAGUGGAAACUGAUGAACUAGAGUACGGUAGGGGUAGAGGGAAUUCCCAGUGUAGCGGUGAAAUGCGUAGAGAUUGGGAAGAACACCAGUGGCGAAGGCGCUCUACUGGACCUGUACUGACACUCAGGGACGAAAGCUAGGGUAGCGAAAGGGAUUAGAUACCCCUGUAGUCCUAGCCGUAAACGAUGGAUACUAGGCGUUGCUUGUAUCGACCCGAGCAGUGCCGUAGCUAACGCGUUAAGUAUCCCGCCUGGGGAGUACGCACGCAAGUGUGAAACUCAAAGGAAUUGACGGGGGCCCGCACAAGCGGUGGAGUAUGUGGUUUAAUUCGAUGCAACGCGAAGAACCUUACCAGGACUUGACAUCCCGCGAAUCUUGAUGAAAGUUGAGAGUGCCUUAGGGAACGCGGAGACAGGUGGUGCAUGGCUGUCGUCAGCUCGUGUCGUGAGAUGUUGGGUUAAGUCCCGCAACGAGCGCAACCCUCGUCCUUAGUUGCCAUCAUUAAGUUGGGCACUUUAAGGAGACUGCCGGUGACAAACCGGAGGAAGGUGGGGAUGACGUCAAGUCAGCAUGCCCCUUACGUCCUGGGCUACACACGUACUACAAUGGUUGGGACAAAGGGCAGCGAGCGAGCAAUCGUAAGCGAAUCUCAUCAAACCCAGCCUCAGUUCAGAUUGCAGGCUGCAACUCGCCUGCAUGAAGGAGGAAUCGCUAGUAAUCGCAGGUCAGCAUACUGCGGUGAAUCCGUUCCCGGGCCUUGUACACACCGCCCGUCACACCAUGGAAGCUGGUCACGCCCGAAGUCGUUACCCUAACCGAAAGGAGGGGGAUGCCGAAGGCAGGACUGGUGACUGGGGUGAAGUCGUAACAAGGUAGCCGUACCGGAAGGUGUGGCUGGAUCACCUCCUUU